ACUGACUCUCUUUUUGGACUCAGCCCACCUGCACCCAGGUGAAAUAAACAGCUUUAUUGCUCACACAAAGCCUGUUUGGUGGUCUCUUCACACAGACACGUGUGAAAUUUGGUGCCGUGACUCGGAUCGGGGGACCUCCCUUGGGAGAUCAAUCCCCCGUCCUCCUGCUCUUUGCUCCAUGAGAAAGAUCCACCUACGACCUCAGGUCCUCAGACCGACCAGCCCAAGAAACAUCUCACCAAUUUCAAAUCCGGACCCCACUGAAAAUCGGACUGUUCAACUCACCUGGCAGCCACUCCCAGAGCCCCUGGAACUCUGGCCCAAGGCUCUCUGACUGACUCCUUCCCAGAUCUUCUCGGCUUAGCGGCUGAAGACUGAUACUGCCCGAUCGCCUCAGAAGCCCCCUAGACCAUCACGGAUGCCGAGCUUCAGGUAACUCUCACAAUGGAAGAAGGCAGGAACGUCAGGCCUCUGAGCCCAAGCCAAGCCAUCGCAUCCCCUGUGACUUGCACAUAUACACCCAGAUGGCCUGAAGUAACUGAAGAAUCACAAAAGAAGUGAAAAGGCCCUGCCCCGCCUUAACUGAUGACAUUCCACCAUUGUGAUUUGUUCCUGCCCCACCUUAACUGAGUGAUUAACCCUGUGAAUUUCCUUCUCCUGGCUCAGAAGCUCCCCCACUGCACCUUGUGACCCCCGCCCCUGCCCACCAGAGAACAACCCCCUUUGACUGUAAUUUUCCAUUACCUUCCCAAAUCCUAUAAAACGGCCCCACCCUUAUUUCCCUUCACUGACUCUCUUUUUGGACUCAGCCCACCUGCACCCAGGUGAAAUAAACAGCUUUAUUGCUCACACAAA
ensembl:lncRNA novel transcript